rnacentral:rRNA from 1 species
GGAGAUAGCUGGUUCUCCCCGAAAGCUAUUUAGGUAGCGCCUCGUGAACUCAUCUUCGGGGGUAGAGCACUGUUUCGGCUAGGGGGCCAUCCCGGCUUACCAACCCGAUGCAAACUACGAAUACCGAAGAAUGUUAUCACGGGAGACACACGGCGGGUGCUAACGUCCGUCGUGAAGAGGGAAACAACCCAGACCGCCAGCUAAGGUCCCAAAGUCAUGGUUAAGUGGGAAACGAUGUGGGAAGGCACAGACAGCCAGGAUGUUGGCUUAGAAG